rnacentral:lncRNA from 1 species
CAGCUUCUGGGUACUGAACUGUAACUGCACAGUCUCAACAGCUUCCUUGAUUCAAACGCCUCCGAUUACCCACUUUCAAAAUGCACACCAGUCAUUACCCAGCAACCUUGAAUUCCUAACAAGUUUAUGGUCCAAGGAACAUUUAAAAGGUGCAGAAUUUAUACCACAGAAAAUAAAAGUUCCUUCUCAGAAUUUCGGACUUCCUUCUCUUUGGUGAGAUGCGUCCCUGACCGUUCUGUGCCUUGAGGUUUUAUUGAAGGUUUACAGACCACCGGUCCCAAGCUCUCUCCUCUCCGCAGCAGCCUCCGUUCUCUUCUGCUUCCCUCCUCCCCAGUCUCAGAUGAAAAGAUGGGCUUUUUCUAGGUAAAGGCUGAUCCCUCCAAUUGUGCAAUGAAUCCCAUAAAU